GACGAACGCUGGCGGCGUGCUUAACACAUGCAAGUCGAACGGAAAGGCCCUGCUUUUGUUGGGUGCUCGAGUGGCGAACGGGUGAGUAACACGUGAGUAACCUGCCCUGUACUUUGUGAUAACUUCAGGAAACUGUUGCUAAUACCGGAUAGGAGCUCCUGCUACAUGGUGGGGGUUGGAAAGUUCCGUCGGUUGGGGAUGGACGCGGGGCUUAUCAGCUUGUUGGUGGGGGAGUGGCUUACCAAGGCUUUGAUGGGUAGCCGGCCUGAGAGGGUGACCGGGGACAUUGGGACUGAGGUACGGACCAGACUCGUACGGGGGGCAGAGGGGGGGAAUAUGGCACAGUGGGGGGAAGCGUGAUGAAGCAACGCCGCGUGCGGGAUGACGGCCUUCGGGUUGAAAAACGCUUUCGCCUGUGACGAAGCGUGAGUGACGGUAAUGGGUAAAGAAGCACCGGCUAACUACGUG
rnacentral:rRNA from 1 species